rnacentral:rRNA from 1 species
GACAGAGGGUGCAAACGUUGCUCGGAAUUACUGGGCGUAAAGGGCGUGUAGGCGGGAAGGCAAGUCGGGCGUGAAAGCCCCAGGCUCAACCUGGGAACUGCACUCGAAACUGCCUUUCUUGAGUGCCGGAGAGGAAAGCGGAAUUCCUGGUGUAGAGGUGAAAUUCGUAGAUAUCGAGGAGGAACACCAGUGGCGAAGGCGGCUUUCUGGACGGUAACUGACGCUGAGACGCGAAAGCGUGGGGAGCAAACAGG